rnacentral:lncRNA from 1 species
CGCGGGUAACGGAGCCCCGCCGCAGAUCCAGAGCUCCAGCUCUGGUCUGGGUUUCCCGGUUUGUGGGACCUGGCCCUUCCCUGCCUAGCUCUCCAGACCCCAAGGAGGGAGGCCAGCGUGGGAAGUGAAUCAGUUUGACUCUCAAGAGGCCCAACUGUCCCCAUCUUGGGAGCCGGGAGAGACCGGUCACCGGUGUCCUAAAGGCCAGCCAACACAAGAAAGAAGGCUAUUGAGGGCUCAUCCAACCCAGUACUGCCUGCCACAGCAACUGAUAAGGACUCCCCAGUGACCCUUCUCACUCGGAUGCUCUUCCUGGAAGCCACUGUUGGAGACAGCUCCUACCUGUGACAGAGCCACAAGGUGAGUAAGGUCCGCCUUACUGAGACUUGCCACUGGCCUGCUCUGCAGCCAUGCUCUCCAACAAAAACUGGUCCCGGGGGCUGGCGAGAUGGCUCAGCGGGUAAGAUGACUGCUCUUCCGAAGGUCCUGAGUUCAAAUCCCAGCAACCACGUGGUGGCUCACAACCACCCGUAAUGAGAUCUGACGCCCCCUUCUGGUGCGUCUGAAGACAGCUACAGUACUUAUGUAUAAUAAUAAAUAAAUCUUCAAAAAAAAAAAAACCA